UACGUAGGUGGCAAGCGUUAUCCGGAAUUAUUGGGCGUAAAGAGCGCGCAGGUGGUUGAUUAAGUCUGAUGUGAAAGCCCACGGCUUAACCGUGGAGGGUCAUUGGAAACUGGUCGACUUGAGUGCAGAAGAGGGAAGUGGAAUUCCAUGUGCAGCGGUGAAAUGCGUAGAGAUAUGGAGGAACACCAGUGGCGAAGGCGGCUUCCUGGUCUGUAACUGACACUGAGGCGCGAAAGCGUGGGGAGCAAACAGGAUUAGAUA
rnacentral:rRNA from 1 species